AACGAACGCUGGCGGCAGGCCUAACACAUGCAAGUCGAACGCCGUAGCAAUACGGAGUGGCAGACGGGUGAGUAACACGUGGGAACAUACCCUUCGGUUCGGAAUAACUCAGGGAAACUUGAGCUAAUACCGGAUACGUCCGCGAGGAGAAAGAUUCAUCGCCGGAGGAUUGGCCCGCGUCUGAUUAGCUUGUUGGUGAGGUAACGGCUCACCAAGGCGACGAUCAGUAGCUGGUCUGAGAGGAUGAUCAGCCACAUUGGGACUGAGACACGGCCCAAACUCCUACGGGAGGCAGCAGUGGGGAAUAUUGGACAAUGGGCGCAAGCCUGAUCCAGCCAUGCCGCGUGAGUGAUGAAGGCCCUAGGGUUGUAAAGCUCUUUACCCGGGAAGAUAAUGACUGUACCGGGAGAAUAAGCCCCGGCUAACUUCGU
rnacentral:rRNA from 1 species